UACGUAGGGUGCAAGCGUUGUCCGGAAUUAUUGGGCGUAAAGAGCUCGUAGGCGGUUUGUCGCGUCUGCUGUGAAAACCCGAGGCUCAACCUCGGGCCUGCAGUGGGUACGGGCAGACUAGAGUGCGGUAGGGGAGAUUGGAAUUCCUGGUGUAGCGGUGGAAUGCGCAGAUAUCAGGAAGAACACCGAUGGCGAAGGCAGGUCUCUGGGCAUUAACUGACGCUGAGGAGCGAAAGCAUGGGGAGCGAACAGG
rnacentral:rRNA from 1 species